rnacentral:tRNA from 6 species
GGGUGGUUAGCUCAGUUGGUAGAGCUUCAGUAUUACAAACUGAAUGUCGCAAGUUCGAAUCUUGCACCACCCA